UACGUAGGGGGCAAGCGUUGUCCGGAUUUAUUGGGCGUAAAGCGCUCGCAGGUGGUUCGUCGCGUCGUGCGUGAAAGACCCCGGCUCAACUGGGGGGUGUCGUGCGAUACGGGCGGACUGGAGGCCAGUAGGGGGAUGCGGAAUUCCGGGUGUAGUGGUGGAAUGCGUAGAGAUCCGGAGGAACACCAGCGGCGAAGGCGGCAUCCUGGACUGGUCCUGACACUCAGGAGCGAAAGCGUGGGGAGCGAGUCCGG
rnacentral:rRNA from 1 species